GGGAAGGUAGCUCAGUGGUAAGAGCACUUGCCUUGCAUGCAUGAGGCCCGGGUUCGAUUCCUCAGCACCA
rnacentral:tRNA from 1 species